UACGUAGGGGGGCAAGCGUUUGUCCGGAAUUAUUGGGCGUAAAGAGCGCGUAGGCGGUCCGGUAAGUCGGCUGUGAAAGUCAAGGGCUCAACCCUUGAAAGCCGGCCGAUACUGUCGGACUAGAGUCCGGAAGAGGCGAGUGGAAUUCCCGGUGUAGCGGUGAAAUGCGCAGAUAUCGGGAGGAACACCAAUGGCGAAGGCAGCUCGCUGGGACGGUACUGA
rnacentral:rRNA from 1 species